AUUGAACGCUGGCGGCAGGCUUAACACAUGCAAGUCGAGCGAGCGGCGGACGGGUGAGUAAUGUCUGGGAAACUGCCUGAUGGAGGGGGAUAACUACUGGAAACGGUAGCUAAUACCGCAUACCAUCAGAUGUGCCCAGAUGGGAUUAGCUAGUAGGUGGGGUAAAGGCUCACCUAGGCGACGAUCCCUAGCUGGUCUGAGAGGAUGACCAGCCACACGGGAACUGAGACACGGCCCAGACUCCUACGGGAGGCAGCAGUGGGGAAUAUUGCACAAUGGGAGCAAGCCUGAUGCAGCCAUGCCGCGUGUAUGAAGAAGGCCUUAGGGUUGUAAAGCACUUUCAGCGGGGAGGCGUUACCCGCAGAAGAAGCACCGGCUAACUCCGUGCCAGCAGCCGCGGUAAUAC
rnacentral:rRNA from 1 species